rnacentral:rRNA from 1 species
ACGAACGCUGGCGGCGUGCUUAACACAUGCCAGUCGAACGGAAAGGCCCUGCUUUUGUGGGGUGCUCGAGUGGCGAACGGGUGAGUAACACGUGAGUAACCUGCCCUUGACUUUGGGAUAACUUCAGGAAACUGGGGCUAAUACCGGAUAGGAGCUCCUGCUGCAUGGUGGGGGUUGGAAAGUUUCGGCGGUUGGGGAUGGACUCGCGGCUUAUCAGCUUGUUGGUGGGGUAGUGGCUUACCAAGGCUUUGACGGGUGGCCGGCCUGAGAGGGUGACCGGCCACAUGGGGACGGAGAGACGGCCCAGACUCCUACGGGAGGAAGCAGUGGGGAAUAUUGCACAAUGGGCGGAGGCCGGAUGCAGCAACGCCGCGUGCGGGAUGACGGCCUUCGGGUUGUAAACCGCUUUCGCCUGUGACGAAGCGUGAGGGACGGUAAUGGUAAAGAAGCACCGGCUAACUACGUG